AAGUCACCAACUUUUAAUUCUUUAAAUCAUCCCAUUCAUAUAGCUUCUUUUUAUUUCUAGAUUUUUAGUAGAAUAUUUAAAUCAUCAUAUUAAUAUUAUCUAUGAGUUAUAUUGACUAUUUUUUUUAAUAUUUAAUUAAUUAAAAACACAAACUUUAACUAAAAUGGGGAGUAAAUUAAUUAUUUAUGGUUAUUACGUGAAACUAGCUUUAGUACUUUACUAGAGGCGCAGUGGUUUUUGUCUAAAUUAGAAUGCAGCAGUAUGUUUCCAUCUGGUUUUCCAUAUUCCUGGAAUAGGGGACCUGUACCCACCAUCAAGUCCGGAUUUUUCCAUGUAAAAUUAAGGGUAUGCAUCGGGUGUAUAUAAUAGCAAAUUAUUAAUUCAAAUUAAAUGCUAUAAAUAGAUUUUGAUUUAAUUGUAUCCUAUAGCAAACUAUUGCUAUUUUCGCCACUCUCCCUGGUGGAAUCUCGCUCGCCACUCUCGUUUGGUGGCAGUUUCGCUCGCCUCUCUCGCUUUUAUACACAAACACAAAUGUAUAAAAUGUGUUUGUGUUUGUAUAAAGCGAGAUGACAUUAUAUAUAUACAUAUUUUUUCGUUCCCCUUUCUCCCCUCUCCCAGAUCUCGCUCGCCACCCUCGCCUCUCUCACUUAUACAAACAGAAACGAAAUGUAUAAAUUGCGAUUCUGUUUGUAUAAAGCGGGAGAAAAUUGUAUAUACACAUGCAAAUACGUAUAUCUUCAUCCUAUACACUUAGAAUUAUACAAUACAAAUAUUUUCAUACCCAGUUUUCUUUUGCCUUUCUCUCUUUCUCGUUUUAUACAUACACAGAUUAUACAAUUGAUCUUUUGUUAUACAACUGCUUUCUUUUUGUAUAUGUAUAGCGAAUUAUACAACUGUCUUCUUUGUAUAUGUAUAGUGAAUUAUACAACUGUUUUUUGUAUAUGUAUAGCGAAUUAUACAUAUAUAUGUUUGCUAUGGAGCUCAAUUAUGCAAACUUUGCUAUAGCAUACAAAUAUGAAUUUUGCGUUUGCUAUAUGUGAAAGUUGCUCUUAUUUUUAUUAGUUCGAUUUAUUAAUUAACUUUUAAUUAUGCUAAAUCAAUAAUUAAAUUAAUAGGAUAUCUCUUAUUGAUUUUCGAUUUAUUAGUUAUGGAUGCUUAAUGAUUUGAUUUCUAAUUUAACCAAUAAAAAAAGAUACUCAUAAAAUAAAUAUAUAAAUUCUCUAAUAAUUUAAUAUGACAUGACAAUAUAAUAUAACUUUACGCAAUACUUAUAAAAUAGAGUUGUGGCUGUCAAUGCUAACAUAAACAUGAUUCUAAUGAAGUCCAACCCUUAAAAGUAGCAUAUAGGGGAGGAAUAUGAAAAGCAAAUAGUAUACAAGUGAAGUAUCAGAGAGAGGUAGAAUCACCACAUAUCAUGGAGGAGGUAGGCCCCAAAAGUUUGAGAUGGCUCCUGGUUUUCGGGAACAAAACUGGUUUGUUUUCACGACUGUGGGCGGGCUCAAUCUGUGGAUUACUGGCGUCGUUACUCACUCCCAUAAGCUAGGAGUAAUUCUUACGAGUCAUUUGGUAGAGUGUAUUAGUAAAAAUAAUGUAUGCAUUAAUUUUGUAUAUUAGUAGUUCCUUGUUUGGUCCUCCAUGUUGAGUUAAUUCUACUGUUGAGUUAAUUAUUCUAACUUUAUUAAUUAAUGUCAUGCAAAGAGACAAAUGCAAAAUACGUUUCAAAGGUGAAGAUACAUCCGUUCCAAACAAAAGUGAUGUAAUGGCCUUUAAUGCCAUUAGCCUUGACAAUAUGUUUCUAAAAUUAAACUCUCUUACUUGCAACUCCUUUUCUUGCAAAUCAUAUAUAAGAAGAGGCUUUGGUGAACAUAACACAACAUUACCAACAUAAACAAAAAGAAGAGAAAAACUUCUUCUUCCUUUCUCCUUAUUCUUAGAAUAUUGUUGGGCAAUUGGUUUUGAGCAACCUCCAAACUCUCAACCACGAGUGCAUGUGUCUGAGAGUAACUGUGGAACCUUGGGGAGCGAUCGGCUACAACGAUUUGCACCGGAGUUGAGCCGAAAUCACUUUCAAGGCAGUGGCUUGCCACAACACAGUGUUUGUGAUAAGUUAUUUACUACUUUAUAAUUCCAAUCAAAUAUCAAUAUUAUAGUAUUUUUCCCAACAAUUUGAAAGCGAUUUACUAACAUACAAUAUUGAUAAAUGGCUAUUUCUUUGAACAAAUUUUUUUUUGAUUUGUCAAAAUUUGAGCCUUUGGAUGGAAGUAAUUUUAAACGAUGAUCACAAAUUUUUUUAAUUUUCUUUGAACAAUUAGAAGUUGAUUAUGUUUUAUUUAAAGAACCUUCUAUGAAUGGUUCUAACACCACUAUUGAUUCUAGCAAUGUUAUGGUUGUUGAUGAUGUUGUUAAAAAGAAGUUUGAAAAGGAUAACAAAAUUGUGAGAGGACAUUUGUUAAAUCAUAUGAAAAAUUCUUUAUUUGAUUUAUUUUUAACCUAUAAAUCUACCAAAGAAAUAUGGGAUAGUUUGAAAAAGAAAUAUGGUACUGAUGAUGCAGGAAAGAAAAAAUAUAUUGUCGGUCAGUGGAUUAAAUUCCAAAUGGUUGAUAAUAAGUCAAUAAUGAAACAAGUUCACUAAUAUGAGAACUUGACUGCUGAUGUUUUCAACGAGGACAUGAAGAUGUGUGAGAUAUUUCUGCUUGAAAAAUUCCCACCAUCUUGGAGUGAUUAUAGAAAUCAAUUAAAACAUAAGAAAAAGAAUUUAACUCUCCAAGAACUUAUUCGUCACAUGAGGACUGAAGAGGCGAACCGUCUCAAAGAUAAGAUGGAAGAAUUUUUCUCUUAAUUCUUCUAAAGCUAAUCUUGUUGAAUCUUCUGGUACUAUUGUGAAAGACAGGUUUAAAGGCAGACAGAAGAAAGUCUCGAAAAAGGAACAUAUGAAGAAGAAAAAUCAAUUCAACAAGCCGGAGAGCCAAAUUCAAAAAUUUAAGAGUCCUUGUUUUGCUUGUGGAAAAGUUAGUCACAGGGUUGCCAAGUGCUAUCAAAGAAAGAGGCAGGACUCAAAGUAGGAAGGACAAAAUGAUGUCCAACCUCGUCUUGCUGAGGGUAAUGAAGUGAUUGUUGUUGUAGUCGUUGAGGCAAAUCUGGUGGCUAACAAAACUGACUGCUUGCUGAGGGUAAUGAAGUGAUUGUUGUUGUAGUCGUUGACGCAAAUCUAGUGGCUAACAAAAUUGACUGGGUGCUAGACACAAGCGCUUCAAGGCAUUUUUGGCCAAUAAGAAUUUAUUUUAUGACUUUGAGGAGUCCAUUGAUGGCGAGUGUGUAUAUAUGGGUAACUCUACUACUGAUGUAGUAAUGGGUAAUGAAAAAGAUUUACUUAAAUUAACUUCCCUUGAACAAUGUUUUGUAUGUUCCCUCCCUCCGUAGAAACUUAGUUUCCGGAGCACCUCUCAACAAAGUAGGCCUUAAACUUGUUUUGAAGCUGAUAAAAUGAUUAUUUCUCGUGGAGGAGACUCCGUUGGGAAGGGAUAUCUUAGUGGGGGAUUAUUUGUAUUGAACAUUGUUCAAGAGAUUGUCAAUAACGCAAGUAUUUCAAAUUCUGCUUAUAUUAUCGAGUUUAUUAAUUUAUGGCAUGGUAGACUAGGUCAUGUUAAUAUUGCAUCUAUUAAAAGACUUAGAAAAAUGGAAUUAAUUCCUAUGAUAAAAACUGAUGAGUUUUCUAAAUGUCUUGUGUGUAGAAGCAAAGCAUGCCAAGAAACCUUUCAAAUUUGUUAUUAGUAGAAAGACCGAAUUACUUGAACUAAUACAUUCAGAUUUAGCAAAUUUCAAGAACAUUGCUAGCAAAGGUGGAAAAAAGUAUUACGUUACUUUUGUCGAUGACUUUUCUAGAUACACUAAGGUAUAUCUUCUUAAUUCUAAAGAUGAGGCUGAAAGCAUGUUUUUGAAAUUCAAAGCAGAAGUGGAAAAUCAAUUAGACAGGAAAAUCAAGAGAUUUAGAUCGGAUAGGGGCAGUGAAUAUUGUACUAAAACUCUAAAGGAUUUUUGUGAGAAAAUGGUAUUAUACAUGAGGUUAGUGCUCCCUAUACUCCCCAACAAAAUGGUGUAGCCGAACGAAAAAAUAGAACCCUUAAAGAAAUGAUGAAUUUUAUGCUUCUAAGCUCUGGUCUAUCUGAAAAUAUGUGGGGAGAAACAGUCUUGCUUGCGUGCUAUAUUCUUAAUAGAGUCCCUCAUAAGAAGUUAGACAAGACCUCAUAUGAGUUGUGGAAAGGAUUUGCCCCUAACUUGAAAUUUUUGAAAGUGUGGGGGUGUUUGACUAAGGUUGGUCUACCUGAUUUUAAACGAGUAAAUGUUGGUUCUAAGACUUUUGAUAUUGUCUUUAUUGGUUAUGCUCAAAAUAGUGCUGCAUAUAGAUUUAUGUCUCUCAAUGAUCACACUAUUUGUGAAUCUAGCGAUGCAAAAAAUUUUGAGCAUAUUUUUUCUUUGAAAAAUAAUAUGUUGAGUGAUGUGCAAAAUAAUGCUUCUACAUCUAUGUCUGUUAAUUCUCAUGUUGUGCCUUCUUCUAAUGUUAUUUCUAAUGAGCAUGAAAAUGAACUUAGAAGGAGUAAAAGACGUAGAAUUGAGACAAGUUUUGAACCUGAUUUUAUCACUUCUUUCUUAACUGAAAAUUUGGAUAUUAAUAUUUUAAAUGAUGAAUCAGUGUCUAUCUAUUUAAUAGAAGAAGACCCUAAGACUUAUGAUGAAGCUAUGAGAUCAAUAGAUGUUAUAUUUUGGAAAGAGGUAUUAAAAGUGAAUUAGACUCUAUAGUUUCUAAUCACACUUGGAACUUGUAUGAUUUACCUAAAGGUUGUAAACUCAUAAGUAGCAAGUGGAUAUUUAAGAAGAAAUUGAGACAUGAUGGUACAAUUAAUAAAUAUAAGGCUAGAUUUGUUAUUAGGGGUUUUAACCAAAAGAAAGGAGCUCAAUUCAAUCAAAUCAUGAAAUUAGGCUGGGCUGGCCCAAUAGUCCAAGCCCAUGCCUGUGGCUAUAUUUCAAUGGAAAAUUUUUCAAAAUGUCAAAAUUUUGAUAUUUAAUAGGAUCUCUUAGCCAUACUCUUCUUUUAAUAUUUAUUUAAAAUGUCAAUAUUUUAGUUUGUUAUAUAUCUUAUGUAUGUAUUUUCUUAUUUGUAUGAUUUGCAAGAAACACAAUUAUUUAAUAACAGAAAGGAGAAAAUCAGGGGAGAUAAUAUUUAAAAAAAGGAACAUAUCACUUAAAAUUCUCACCAGUUACAAUUUCAAAGAAAUCAACUUUUUUUUUAUUAUGUUUUCAUUGUAAUUGUAUACCAAUAUUUUUUACAUUUAAUGUGUUGACUUUACCUUUCAAAUUAAAUUUGAUAUUUUACUUUCAUAGUGAAAACUACAAAUCGUAUCCCAGUGAUCAAAAUUGUAUUACAUGAUUGCCAAAUAUAUUUUUCUUUUAUUUGUAUUAUAAAAAUAUCACUGAUUGUAUCCCAAUAUAAUUAAUCAUUACAUAUGAAUAUGAUUUAUGAAAGGAUACAAGAUUCUGAAAAAAAAAAUUAGCAUACAUGGUGGAAAUAAUACAAUCUAUUGAGGAAUGAUACAAUAUUCUAAAAAAAAUUAGAAGUUGGCUAUGAAAGAAACAGAGAUACAAGAUUCUGGAAAAAAAUUUAGCAUACAUAGUGGAAAUAAUACAAUCUGUUGAGGAAUGAUACAAUAUUCUAAAAAAAAAUACAAACUGGCUGUGAAAAAAAUAGAAUACAUAUAUGCUUAAGAAAUAUGAAUCAAUUUGACAUACGUACUUGAAUGACCACAAACUUAAAAGAAAUACAAUGUUCUUAAUAAAAUUACAAAUGCUGAGAAAAACAAAAAUAAUUAACAAACAAAAAUUAAUAUGAAUACAAUCCUGGUAUGAAUACAAUUCAACUUUCUUCUCUCAAUCUCUCUUUCUUCUUCUUCUUCGUCUGCUAUGUUGUUUUUUUUCUGAUUUUUUUUUUUUAUCAAACUCAAAUCCAAAUCCGUAUUCACUUGUGCAUAUAUUAGUAACCCUAUAAACAAAAUUUGAAAUUAUUAAUUAUGAAUGUAUAAAAAAUCAAACAAUAUAUGAUGUAUGAAUGCUAAUGUAUGUAGAUUACUAUAAUCUAUUAAAUCUCAAAUAUGAAAACAAAAUCACAAAAAUAAUAAUUGAACAAUAGAGUUUAAAAGACGAAAAAUUCGAAAUACAUAGAAGAGGGAAAUCUCAUAAAAUACUUGGUGAAUAUGAGAACCUCACAAAAAAAUCAAACAAUAUUAUUCAAAGACGAAAAAUCCGAAAUACAAAAUACUUGAUAAUUGUGAAAACAAAAUCACAAGACAUCUCACAAAAUACUUGUUGACUUCGAAUUUACCUUUAUCCAUGGUUGAAAAAUCUUUUGAAUUAAUUGUGAGAUUUCUUGAACAAAGUGUAGGAAAUUGGAAGAGUUGAUUUUCUUGAAUAAGGAAAGGCGAUAACAAUGGUGAAAAGGAAAGAGAGAGAAAUGAGCAAUUUGGGGUAAAACCUAGAAAGAGAGGUAAGUGGGUAAUGGGGGUAUAAUUAUUUUUAUUUUACGGAUGAGGGAGUAAAAAAGGGUCUAACUUGAGCAUGAUUUGAGAAAUAAAAGGAAAAGAAAUUAAUUAUAUUAGGAUACAAUUAAUCUUCUAAAAUAUUGACAUAUUGACAUUUUUAAUAAUUAUUUUUAAGUGUAGAUAUUUUUUAUAAUUAUAUUAGGGAUUAUGACUAGUUUGCUAAUUUUUCCUAUUUUGAUUAUUCUUUAGAUAUGACUUCUAUAAAUAGCUAUUUGUGAACUUCACCUCAUCAUAUAUGGCAAAUUAGGCACUUUCAGGACAACAAGGGUUACAACUUUCAAUUGACAAUUGGCACAAACAGCCGCAGACGUAUAAAAGUUAUAUUUUAUAAAUUUAUAAGAGAGAAAAAGUUGAUUUAUAUUUUCAAAUAAUUAUCCUACAUUAGCAAAAAUUGCUUUCAAAGCAAUGACUUGCCACCACACAAUGUUUUAUUUUAUAAGUUAUUUUUGUUCUCAUUUUGUUAUUAAUUAUCAAACUAGUUUUGAAUAUGUAGCAAGAGUUAAUGGGAAAUGGAGGGAAGAUGAAAAGAGAGGAACUUGAAAAGUUGGGAACUUGAAGAAUUGGAAACUUGAAAAGUCCUUUUAUGCUUUAGUGAAAAGGCAUUUCUCCCUCAUCGGUGGUGGAAAGAAAAAUAAAAGAGUUUAAAUAUAGAAACACUCCUAUUAAUUGUUAAAAGGGUUGGAAAGAGGGACCCCUUCGCACCGUCGUCGUCGUCGCUCGCUCGCUCGGCUUCGGCGACAAAGUUUGUUUAAAUUAUUUAUUUAAUUAAUUAAAUUAAAUUAAAUGGCCAAAACGUCAAAAUGUUUCAAUUAAUUAGUUAAUUAACCAAAAUGUUUCGGCUAUUCAGUUAAUUGACCGACCUGACUCGGAUCCGCGCGCGACCCAUUUUAUUUAAAUUCUUUUCCGUUUUAUUUAAAUUUCCCGCCGUUGGAAGUGACUGUUCUAAAAGGUUGCAACUUUCAUGAACAGUCAUGACCGUUUGAAAGGUUGCAAACUUUCGUGAAUGGUCGUGUGGAUUCUGAAAGGGUUGAUUCUUCAGAUUUAUUAAUUACGAUUUUUUCUGAUUUCUUCUUCUUCUUCUGCACAAAGUUUCUUCAUAUACUUUACUGUUAUUGAGUGGUUCGAUGAUACCAGAGUUUUGGGUAUCAAUACACUGGUGAUUGAGAUCAUUCUAUCCUGGGAGGACAUAUUCCAAAUCAAACCUCAAAUACUAGAGGGGAAUAAUUUCUUUAAGGGGGCACUGUGCAGUCAGUGGGCUUGAUCUUUUCCGUUCUGUCUUUUUCCAGAUUCUAGUAUGUUUUUCAGAUUUUAGUUGUUCUAAAUUAAUUUCUGUUCUUCUAUUUUUACUAGUUCAUUAAAACUUUGAUUACUUCGUGUUUCUGCAAAGUUUAUUGGAAUCAGAAAUUCUGUUUUAAACACAGAUUGACAACAAUUAUAACAAAUUGUUCGAUUUCAGCAGUCCCAUAAUGGAUCAAAAAGAUUUAUAUUGAAUGUCCUGCUCCUGCCUGAACUUUCCCAUCAACCAAACCAUACUCCAUUAAUGCAUUCUUUUAGUUUUGUAUAGGUCUUCGAUCAAUAUUGAUCUCGGAGGUUUUGGUACUUCAACUCGUCCAAUGUACUUUAUUUUUCUUUAAAUAAACACAAUGGGGGUCGAUGCCGAAUCUGUUAUGAAUAUGAGAAUCAAAAGUUACGCAUUGUUAUCAAUGUAACAGUAAAGCUAGUUACAAAAUGUUAGUUACAAAAGUUUGUUAUAAUGUUAGUUAAAGGUAACUCUAGUUAAUUUAGACUAACUAGCUUGUACAGUUAAGAUACACUAUAAAUAGAGUAGUGUAGGCAUUAUUUGUAUUGUAUCAGAUUAUCAUUCAAUACAGUGAAAAGUUCUUCUUCUUUGAUUGAAUCAUCUGCUCUAUAAUUCUUCAUGGUAUCAGAGCCAUGGAUGCUCUCCUGAUGUAUUCCGCAAAUUAGGUUGUUAAACUCUUCUGCUUGCAGUGCACACGAAAGGCUCUCCAACAGAGUCUGCAUUAUCUUAGAAGCAGUCCUGUUUUUACUUCGUUUGUUGCUCCUGAUUCAGUGAAGAUCUUCAUCAAUGACGAUAGGUGAAGGCUCCAAUCCUGACACUCUUACUCCUUCAGCUGGUGGUAGAGAAGCCAUAGUUGAUUCACAUCAUCCUUUGUUUCUUCAAGCGUGUGACACUCCAGGUAGUUCACUGGUCUCUACUCAAUUAAUUGGAUCUGAAAACUAUUCUUUGUGGAGCAGGUCUAUGAAGAUAGGUCUGCUAGGCAAAUGUAAAAUAGGAUUUGUGGAUGGAUCUAGUUCUAAAGAGAAGUUUCAAGCUUCCUUCCAUAAUAUGUGGGAGAAAUGUAAUGCAAUUGUCCUUUCAUGGAUCAUGAUUUCUGUUAGUCGAGAACUUCUCAGUGGGAUAGUUUAUGCUAAUAGUGCUCAACAAGUUUGGAAUGACCUGAAGGAAAGGUUUGAUAAGGUUGAUGGAUCACGUAUAUUCUAUCUACAUAAGGAGAUUGCUACACUCACUCAAGGAAUAUUGUUUGUUUCCAUCUAUUUCUCCAGGUUUAAAGAGCUUUGGAUGGAGUUUGAUUCUCUCAUGCCCUGUCCUGGGUGUGACUGUUUAGUUUCAAAGACUUAUGCAAUUCAUUUUGAGUAUCAAAGGCUUAUGCAGUUUCUCAUAGGUCUCAAUGAGUCUUACAACCAAUGUAGAAGCCAAAUUAUGAUGAUGGAUCAUGUUCCCAGUGUGAACAAAGCCUAUUCACUAGUGAUUGUAGAAGAGAGUCAGAGGAUCCUUGGUAAGGCAAAUACUGUUGUUGAGAUGCCUUCUAACCAUGGAUACAAGAGGCUCUAGCCUUCUUUAGUGGCAGUAAUCAUACCUACUCAGGCUCCAGAGGAUCGGGAUCUGGUGGUCCUGGUACUACUGGAUCUACUUCCAGACCUAAGAAGCCAUUUAACAGUUAUUGUUUUGUGAUUACUGUAAUUGGAAAGGUCACACAAGGGAUCACUGCUACAAACUUCAUGGUUAUCCAUCUGACUGGAAAGGUAAGAAGAAAAUCAGUCCUGGUUCAACUAGCACAACUAGUUUUGCUGCUGCUAGUUCUGGUCCUAGUAGCCUCUCAAGCAGAUCUCCAUCAGGUGUUAGCAAUACUGGUGUCUCUCAUGCAUUUAUGACUAACCUGCAGCAUCAACAGUUUCAACCUCAUGCAACUUCACAGCCACAACAUCCUCAUUUCUCCCACCAGCAGUACAUGCGGAUCCUGCAAUUGCUAGAUCAGGGAAAUGGGAAGACUACCGCUGAUGCUCUUGUGUCUACCUCAGGUACAUCAGGUUUGUUUCCUACUUCCAAGUGGAUAUUUGAUUCAGGAGCUUCCAAACAUAUGGUUCAUAGUCUGCGUAUGCUCAAUCACUAUACUACCUUGUCUGAGUCUCACGAAGGAAAAAUGUAUCUUCCUACUGGCAAUCUUGCACCAGUUAGUCAUAUUGGCUCAUCUCAGAUCUUAGGAGGGGCUGAGAUCACUAAUAUGCUUCAUGUUCCUACUUUUCAAUACAACUUAUUAUCUGUUCCUAGACUAACAAAGGAGUUGAAAUGCAGUGUUAUGUUCUAUCCUAAUUUCUGCAUUUUCCAGGACCUCUCCAAUGGAAAAGUGAGGGGGAUUGGCAAGUUGGAGAAUGACAUGUAUGUGAUUACUGCUGACUGUCAUUUGCAUUCUCAAGGAGCAGAAUUGAGUUCACCUAAAGAUCAAGCUAUUGCAGUUUCUAAGUCUUGUCUUGUACCUUCUUUACAUUCAUCUAGAAUAAGUCUAUCAUUGUGGCAUAAAUGCCUAGGUCAUGUACCUUUUAAUACUCUUAGACAAUUUAGUUCUUUGCAACAGUUGCAUCCUACUACUGAUGCACCUUAUACUGUAUGCCCUUUAGCUAAACAAUCAAGACUAUCUUUUCCUUUAAGUGCUACUUCUACUACUGCUUGCUUUCAACUUUUACACGCUGAUGUAUGGGGUCCCUAUAGAGUUCCAACUCAUGAUAAUAACAGGUAUUUUUUAACCUUAGUAGAUGACUACUCAAGGUAUACCUGGAUAGUUUUGCUUCCCUCCAAAUCUGAGGUCAUAGUUGCACUCAAAAAUUUUCUUAUUAUGGUUGCAAAUGUUUUCUCUUCCUUAGUCAAAAUAUUAACGACAGAUAAUGGCUGUGAGUUUUUUAAUUCCCAAAUGACUGUUCUCCUGGAGUCUCUAGGUAUUUUACACCAAAGUUCAUGCAUAUAUACCCCUCAACAAAAUGGAGUUGUUGAAAGGAAACAUAGACAUAUACUUAAUGUUGCUAGAGCCUUGAGGUUUCAAUCUAGCAUGCCUCUUAAAUUUUGGGGUGAGUGUGCUCUUACUAGUGUCUAUUUGAUCAACAGAUUGCCUUCAUCUAUUUUACACAACAAGACAUCUUAUGAGUUGCUUUAUCUUAGAUCUCUUUCUCUUGAUCAUCUUCGAGUCUUUGCGUGUCUUGCUUUUGCUUCUGAAGUCAGAAAGGUUGACAAGUUUACUCCCAGAGCUUUCCCUACUGUGUUCUUGGGGUAUUCUACAUUACAAAAAGGGUACAAAUUGUUUUCUCUUCAUACUUAAGAGUUCUUAGUGUCCAGAGAUGUAGUUUUCAAAGAGGACAUAUUUCUCUUUACUCAAACCACUUCCUCAUGUCCUCCUUUGUUUCCUAUCUUUCAGUUUACAGAGUCCUUUACUAAGUCCACUCCAGUUCCUCCCAUUGCUACUCUUUAUUCUUCUCUUUGUCCAGCUUCUAUAGUAUCUGAAUGUCCCUUUUCUCCUGCCUAUGCAUCUGAUAUGUCUGCAACUGUUCCCUUAAGAAGAUCCUCUAGAAAUUCCAAACCUCCAAUUUGGCUUCAUGACUAUGUUACUACUCAGCCUAAGUCCACUUGUCUUUAUCCUUUAUCCAAUCAUGUCAGCUAUCGCCAUUUGUAUCCACUUUAUGGCUUAGCCUUAGCUGCAUAUUCCAGCAUCCUUAAGCCUAAGUCUUCCAUAAGGCUGCUCUUAAUCCUUUGUGGGUCGUAGCUAUGCAAGCUAAGAUCAAAGCCUUGGAAGAGAAUCAUACCUGGUCUAUCACUGAUCUUCCUUCUGAUAAACAUCCAAUUGGCUGUAAAUGGGUGUUUAAGGUGAAAUAUCUUGCAUCUGGUGCUGUUGAAAGAUACUAGGCUAGACUUGUUGCAAAGGGGUUCAAUCAGAAAGAAGGCUUGGAUUAUUCUGAAACUUUCUCCCAUGUUGCUAAGAUGGUUACUGUGCGGUCUGUUCUAGCUGUGGCCUCUGCUAAACACUGGCUUGUGUUCCAAAUGGAUGUCCAUAAUGCAUUUCUCCAAGGUGACCUGGUUGAGGAUAUGUAUACGGUUGUUCCUCCAGGCUUUUGCAGACAGGUGGAGUCUGGUAAAGUCUGCAAAUUACACAAGUCACUAUAUGGUUUAAAGCAGACACCUAGGCAAUGGAAUUUUAAACUAAUAGAAGCAUUACUUCAGCUGGGAUUUGUUCAAAGCCACUAUGACUAUUCUCUAUUUACCAGAAGUGAAAAUAAAAAGUUGAUAAUAAUUCUUGUUUAUGUUGAUGACCUUCUGAUAACUAGAAGCUGCAAGAAGCUGAUUGACAGGACCGGGAAUGAUCUGCAACUUAAAUUCAAAAUGAAAGACCUAGGAGAAUUGAAGUUUUUCCUUGGAAUUGAAUUCGCCAGAUCAAAAGAAGGUUAUAUUAUGAGCCAACGUAAGUAUGCCUUGGAACUUGUCUCAGAAAUGGGUCUAAGUGGUGCCAAGCCAGUCAACACUCCACUGGAUCCAAACCUCAGACUAACCUCUAUUGAAUAUGACUCACAUGUACAAGAGGCAAACACUACAUCAAGUGACAAACCUUUGGAAGAUAUUGGUAGAUAUCAAAGCCUUGUAGGGAAACUGUUGUAUCUAACUAUGACCAGGGUAGAUAUCUCCUUUGCAGUACAAGUUCUAAGUCAAUAUAUGCAUGCACCCAAAGAGUCUCAUAUGGAAGCUACACUUAGAGUAGUCAAAUACAUCAAGUCAGCUCCAGGUUUGGGUUUGUUUAUGCCCUCACAAGAUUCUAAUCAAUUGACUGUUUACUGUGACUCUGAUUGGGGUACUUGCUUACAAACGAGAAGAUCUGUGACUGGAUACUUAGUGAAGUUUGGAAAUGCUCUUGUAUCUUGGAAGGCAAAGAAGCAAGAAACAAUUGCUAAAAGUUCUGCAGAAGCUGAGUUUAGGAGUAUGGCAUCUGCAGUAGCUGAAAUUACUUGGCUCAUUGGCAUACACAGUGAACUAGGAGUAACCAUCAAACAACCAGUUGAUCUAUUCUGUGACAGCAAGGCUGCAAUUCAGAUUGCAGCCAACCCUAUUUUUCAUGAGCGAACUAAGCAUUUUGAUAUUGAUUGCUAUUUUGUUAGAGAGAAACUGCUUAAAAAAAUGAUUCAGACACAUCAUGUAUCCACAAAAGAUCAGCUGGCAGAUCUGCUCACAAAAGGUUUAUGGAAAGCUCCACACUCACAUCUUAUGUCCAAGCUGGGAAUGAAAGACAUUUUUCAGCCAUCAGCUUGAGGAUGGGUGUUAUGAAUAUGAGAAUCAAAAGUUACGCAUUGUGAUCAAUGUAACAGUAAAGUUAGUUACAAAAGUUUGUUAUAAUGUUAGUUAAAGGUAACUCUAGUUAAGUUAGACUAACUAGCUUGUACAGUUAAGAUACACUAUAAAUAGAGUAGUGUAGGCAUUAUUUGUAUUGUAUUAGAUUAUCAUUCAACACACAGAAAAGUUCUUCUUUGAUUGAAUCCUCUGCUCUGUAAUUCUUCAGAAUCCCCUAUCACCACCGAAGGUGAAAGCCUGGAUGGAUGAUAUUAAAAUAAAAAUAAAAACGAGACCUUCAGCCUUUAGAACAAAAGAGAUUAUAAUGCAACUUAAUGUCAUCUAGUCCAAAUUUUGCACUAAGAGAAAUUCACUGCCGGUAAUAUAAUAAGAUAUAUGCUUUUGCUGAGAAAUAUUGGAAACAGAUUUUGUCAGCAUAAAAUGCACUUCUUGUUGGUUGUUAGGUAAUUAGACUUGCUUUCAACUUUCAAGCAUAACGAAUAGUUUAGUUCAACAUGUAUAGUAGAAAAAACAAUAGGCAAAAAAUGGUCUAAAUUUCAAAUGAUUGGUCGACGAAUAUAGAAAAGACUUAGAAUAGCAAUUCAUCUUCUGUAGGAAACAAGUACUGGUCUAUCUAUCAAGUUGGUAAUUUCAAAAAUCAUCAAUACUUCCAACCAAAACAAAUUGAAUUAGUUAAUUGUACUCCCAAAGUAAAAGGAUAUUACACUUUUAGUCACUAAGAGGUAGUUUGACCGGAGAUAUUAGAGAAAAUAAUAUUUGUAUUAGCUUUGAUACUACAUAAUUUAUUGUUUGGUAUACCUAUAUAAUUAAUUAUAUAGAGUGAUACAUUAUAUUCAGUAUUAUUAUAUAUUCACCAUGACAUUAACAAUAUAUACUAGUACUAUUCCUAUAUAUUCUAGUACAGUAUACUCCAAUUGGAUUACAUUUUUUAGAAAUUUAUACGAUAUAUAAUAUAUAUGUGUUAGUAUUUGAUGCAACAAACCAGACAAACGAUAAAUGAAAUAUCAGCAUGAACAUUACUAACCAUAUUAAGUAGUAUUCUUAUGUGGCAUUUCAAUCCCUAAAAGAUAAUAAUUACAUAUAAGUAUAUAACCAUUUAUAAAAGGCAAGACUUCGUUACACUACGACAAAGUGAUAUUUAGUGGGAAUCGAUUUUUCUCUUAGUAUUGCCACAAAAAAAAAUUGCGACAAUAUUUUGCGAUAAUUGAGUUAAUUCAAAGAUGCUACAGUUUUUCACGAUAUUUAUAUAGAAUGCUGAUAGUAAGUAUCAAAAAUUAUUAUUAUUAUUAAAUAUAUUAUAACAAUUAGAAUCUUAUUUUAAUCAAUCAAAUUUUAGUCAUUAAUUCUUGCAUAUGCCAUGUGUCUCACAUCCAAGCAAGAACUUGGGAAAAAUGAAGAAAAGAGAAAUAGAGAGUAACCGGAUCCAUUAUAAGGCAUAUUGUCAUUUGUCCGUAUUUAUAAGUUAAAUUUUAAAAAAAUUCAAACAACUGCCAGUGGCCAUAAAUGAAAAUGAUGCAUCCAGAAAAAUACGUCUGGACCUUCUGUAGUAAGGAAUGGUCUCUUCCAAGUCCAAUAAAAAAGACUGCAAAGUCCAUCCACUACUACUGUAACAUGAGGCUAAACUGCACUCUCAAUACAUAGAAAAAUUAACCAACAAUGCAUUAUCUAUCACACAUUCAUAUCCUGGAUGAGAUAAGAUUCACCAUCUUCCGACACGUGGCACUUCUAUUCUUGUCUAUUAAAAUAAAAGACACUUAGCUCCAAUUUCUUAUCUUUCAUGUGGCCAUUAAAUUUUGUAAUAUCAACAGCCACAUAAUCCAAUGGUCACCCUUCAUCUAAGAUGAGGUUUCCUUUGUUUCUAUCCGUUAGAUUAAAAAAAACGUCUAACACCUUAUCAUUAUAUAAAGGGAGUAAGCCACAGUGUAAUAAGCAUCUUAAAAAAAAAACAAGUUUCUUUGAAGUAAAAAAAAAAAAAACGUUUUAUAGCUAAGUAGUAACGUAAUGGCUUCCUCAAUUGUCUCCUCAGCAGCCGUUGCUACCCGUAGCAAUGUUGCUCAAGCUAGCAUGGUCGCACCCUUCACCGGACUCAAAUCCGCCGCGUCUUUCCCCGUUACUAAGAAGAACAACAACGUUGACAUUACUUCCCUUGCUAGCAACGGUGGACGUGUUAGAUGCAUGCAGGUUCAAAUAAUAAUUAUCAGUAUAUAUAUAUAAAAUUUAAAUUAACUAGUUGUCGUUUAUUUAUAAAAUAAAUGUGUUAAUGUAGGUGUGGCCACCAAUUAACAUGAAGAAAUACGAGACAUUGUCAUACCUUCCUGACUUGUCCGAUGAGCAAUUGCUCAAGGAAGUUGAGUACCUUUUGAAAAAUGGAUGGGUUCCUUGCUUGGAAUUCGAGACUGAGGUCAAUAUCUCCUACAUACUUUUACAUGUGUAAUUUAAUUUGUUGAAGGAGAAAAUAAAUGUAUGUUAUAUUGUUGUGUACAGCACGGAUUUGUGUACCGUGAGCACAACAGCUCACCAGGAUACUACGAUGGUAGAUACUGGACCAUGUGGAAGUUGCCUAUGUUUGGGUGCACUGACGCAACCCAGGUGUUGGCUGAGGUUCAAGAGGCCAAGAAUGCGUACCCACAGGCCUGGAUCCGUAUUAUCGGAUUCGACAACGUUCGUCAAGUGCAGUGCAUCAGUUUCAUUGCCUACAAGCCAGAAGGAUACUAAAUUUCAUCAAACCUAUAAUUAAUUACUCCUAUCGACAUGUUUUUUGCGUUUUGUACCGGUGUAUUUUCCUCGAUUCCGACCAAGUUAUGAGAAAUUAAUAAUGAUGAAUCUUUAAUUAUAUGUUUUUUUGUGGUGUGUAUGAGUUUUAUUAUCCAAACUAAAAAUCUCUCUUUAAAUAUGAAAACGACACAUUAACUACUCCUUUUAUCCUAACAACUUUAGCACAACGAUUAAAUAGCCACCGCAUGUGACAUUAAUUAUCUUAAAUGAAAAGAAUUGUAUCACAUUGAGACAUCGAUUCAAUAAUUAGUGAGAAUGAAAAAGACUUCAUUUUCUGCCUGGAAAAAUGCCGUAACUUAAGUAAGAUUUUUUUUUUAUUUCACAAAUUAGUGAAUUCAAAUCUUACACUUUUGAUUCAUCAAUGUAAAAAGAAUAAAUUAAAAAUCCUAUUAUUUGUAUUAUUUAUGUGAGGCACAAAAUAAAUAUCUUCGUAAGAGUAACCAACCUUCUAGGCUUAUCAUGAUCAGUUGGGCCCUGGAUGUUUACACUUGUGGCCACUGGCCAUGCUCAACAAGGACCGGUCAAUUAUUGUAUUUUGUUGUUAUCCUUUUGUCUUUUUUAUUGGUUUUUUUUUUUAAAGAGUUUGAAGUUUUAUGUAUCGAAUAGUUGAUAUGUUAAUAGUUAUUAAAUACAAAUUUAUAUAUAUAUUCUAAAUUAACGUAUAAUAUACAUAAAUGGUGUAUAAUUUUUUUAUAUUUGACUAACGGCUAAAAUUCAUUUAAAUUGAGCAAGUAAAUGUAUUAUGACCCCUAAAUUUUUUUAGCUCAAACACCAAUUUAGUGAUUUUUGCUUUAAAAAAACUGAAAAUUGUAUUGUUGGUGAUCAGUAGAAAGUGUUGAAGAAGAGAAAUCAUUGUAAGUUUGAAGAAGAGAAAAUACAUAAAACUCCCCCCUAAACUUGGCAGUACAACUUACUUUAGCACUUAAACUACACAGGCUUUUAAUAUCCCCAUUAACAUCUUUGAAGUGAAUUAAAUACAACUCUAAAUACUGACUCCUCCACAGCGAUAGCACUACUGGAGCAUGACCAUUCGCAAUACACUAACAUUAUAUCUGAAUGCAGGUCACUAAUGCAGCAGGGGAAUACCAAAACCACUCCACACAUUCAGGGAGUAGAACAAGGUGGCGGACAUACUGGCUAAAAUGGGUAGGACAAUACAAUCCAACAGCGGGAGGAUGCAGAUUUUGGAAGCCCCACCACAUUAUGCCUUCAAAGCAUGGGAAGCUGACAAGAAUGGGCUUUAUUUUGAUAGAAUGGUAGUAGUAACUAGUCCCAACGAGACAACGGAGAAUCCCCCUAUUUCAAACUAUGUAAUGAACAAUGAAGUCCGUGUGCUUCACCUUUAAGCUUUUUAUAUAAUUACUCUAUUUCUAUCAAAAACAAAUAAAUACAACCCUGAGAAUAGAAUACCACUCUCACCUGUCACAUCAUAACCAUGUAAGCACCACGUCAUUAAUUUUCAAUCUUUUUUUUGCUUAUUCACCUUUUCUCUUAACCAUUUUCUUAAAAUUUAUUACACUAAUCAAUUAAUUUAAAAUACAUUUUAAAAUCAAAAUUGCCCCAUCUUCUUCCACCCCUUCUCUUCUACCCCCCCCCCCCUACUCUUUC
rnacentral:lncRNA from 1 species